rnacentral:snoRNA from 1 species
CUGCACUGAUGAUUGUAGAUGGAAGUGACCUGGCACUGGUGGCCUAUGGUUCUCCUUUGGCCAGGAAAUGACUUGGUUAAUCUUCUCUCUGAGCAG